UUACAGGCGUGAGCCACCGCGCCUGGCCGUUGUUCUUAUUCUUUAUCCAUUUUGUUGAAGAUAUUUAACAGAAUAGGGCUGAGGAAAGAAUUCUAUAGUCUUUUUUUUUUUUUUUUUACACAGAGUUUCAAUCUGUUGCCCAGGAUGGUGUGCAGUGGUGUGAUCUCAGUUUACUGCAACCUCCACCUUCCGGGUUCAAGAGAGUCUUAUGCCUCGGCCUCCCAAGUAGCUGGCAUUACAGGCAUGCACCACUACACCCAGUUACUUUUUUUGAAUUUUUAGUAGAGAUGAGGUUUUAUAAUGUUGGCCAGGCUGGUCUUGAGCUCCUGUUCUCAGAUGAUCCGCCCGCCUCGGCCUCCCAAAGUGCUGGGAUUAUAGGCGUGAGCUGCCACACCCAGCCUAUUGUCUUAUUCUUGAAAUUUUUUCUUUUUCUUUUUCUUUUCCAAGACAGAGUCUUACUCUGUUGCCCAGGCUGGAAUGCAGUGGCACGAUCUCUGCUUACUGCAACCUCUGCCUCCCAGGUUCAAGCAAUUCUCCUGCCUCAGUCUCCUGAGUAGCUGGGAUUACUGGCAUGCGCCACCACACCUGGCUAAUUUUUGUAUUUUUAGUAGAGACAGGAUUUCACCAUCUUGGGCAGGCUGGGUCUCAAACUCCUGACCUCAGGUGAUCCCCCUGUCUCAGCCUCCCAAAGAGCUGGGAUUACAGGCAUGAGCCAGUGCGCCUGGCCUGAAAUUUUUUCUUGACUGUCAGCUUUUAAAAUCAUGAACUGUGGGGUAGAGGAGUAUAUUCGUGUGUAUGUAGUAUGAGGUUCCUUAGCUGUGGGAUAUUGGCAGACAGAUAAAAGUGAAGAUUUUCGAACAGAGCAAGUAGAUGAAGGGGACAUGCCAUGUUGAAGAAAAUUAAUGAGGGAACACAUAGAAACAAAGAGGAAAGCACAGAUAUUCUUGACAGGUUAAAUAAUAAGCUGAAUUUCUUUUGAUCUAGGAGACAAGGGCAGUCAUCUGUCAAACUCCUUGAUGUAUUUGUGCUUGUUCACAUAUCUAGACACUGUGAACCCAGAACAUCUGAGGCAGGUCUCAGUUAAUUUAGAAAGCUGAUUUUGCCAAGGUUGAGGAUGUGCCCGUGACACAGCCUCAGGAGGUCCUGAUGCCAUGUACCCAAGGUGGUCGGGGCACAGCUUGGCUUUAUAUAUUGUAGGGAGACAAGCUACAUUAAUCACUUUAUCUAAGAAGUACAUUGGUUUGGUCUAGGAAAGGCGGGACAACUUGAAGCAAAGGCAGGAAGACUCAAAGCAGAGAAGUUAUAGUCUUUUGAGUUUCUGAUUAGUUUUUUCCAAAGGAGGCAAUCAGAUAUGCAUCUAUCUCAGUGAGCACAGGGGUGACUUUGAAUAGAAUGGGGGGCAGGUUUGCCCUAAGCAGUUUCCAGUGUGAAGUUUCCAUAGUGACUUUGGGGGCCGAAGAUAUUUUCCUUUCACAAUAGCGUAAGACUGCUUCUUAAGAUCCACGAUCCUCUCAAAGAGGCCAGUAUGAAUCAACAUCGGUAGGUGUUCAUACUCACUUUAAACUAAAGAUUUAGGCCAGGUGGGGUGGCUCAAGCCUGUAAUCCCAGCAUUUUGGGAGGCUGAGGCCGGCAGAUUGCUUGAGGCCAGGAGUUCAAGACCAGCCUGGGCAAUAUGGCAAAACCCAGUUUCUA
rnacentral:lncRNA from 1 species